GUUAAAAAGCUCGUAGUUGGAUUUCUGUUGAGGACGGCCGGUCCGCACUAUGUGCGUGUAUCUGGUUCGGCCUUGGCAUCCUCUUGAGGAACGUUCCUGCGCUUGAUUGCGUGGGGCGGUAUUCAAGACUUUUACUUUGAGGAAAUUAGAGUGUUCACGGCAGGCAAGCGCCUUGAAUACAUUAGCAUGGAAUAAUAAUAUAGGAUCUUGGUUCUAUUUGUUGGUUUCUAGGGCUAAGGUAAUGAUUAAUAGGGAUAAUUGGGGGCAUUUGUAUUAACGCGUCAGAGGUGGAAUUCUUGGAUUGCGUUACGACAAACUACUGCGAAAGCAUUUGCCAAGGAUGUUUUCAUUGAUCAAGAACGAAAGUAUGGGGAUCGAAGAUGAUUAGAUACCGUCGUAGUCUAUACCAUAAACUAUGCCGACUAGGGAUUGGAGGUCGUUCUUUUUAUGACUCCUUCA
rnacentral:rRNA from 1 species